CCUACGGGGGGCAGCAGUGGGGAAUAUUGGACAAUGGGGGGAACCCUGAUCCAGCCAUGCCGCGUGUGUGAAGAAGGCCCUCGGGUUGUAAAGCACUUUCAGUGAGGAAGAACGCCUGGUGGUGAAUACCCAUCAGGAAAGACAUCACUCACAGAAGAAGCACCGGCUAACUCCGUGCCAGCAGCCGCGGUAAUACGGAGGGUGCGAGCGUUAAUCGGAAUUACUGGGCGUAAAGCGCGCGUAGGUGGCUUGAUAAGCCGGUUGUGAAAGCCCCGGGCUCAACCUGGGAACGGCAUCCGGAACUGUCAAGCUAGAGUGCAGGAGAGGAAGGUAGAAUUCCCGGUGUAGCGGUGAAAUGCGUAGAGAUCGGGAGGAAUACCAGUGGCGAAGGCGGCCUUCUGGACUGACACUGACACUGAGGUGCGAAAGCGUGGGUAGCAAACAGGAUUAGAUACCCUUGUAGUC
rnacentral:rRNA from 1 species